rnacentral:ncRNA from 1 species
UGAUAGAGGCGCGGUUGCCAAGAGUAGCUUCCAACUGCGGCGCAGGGGCGUCGGGAGUGAAAGGGGUUGCCGCCGAAGAGCAGUUUACGCCCCGCGUAUCUGUAUCUGGGUCGCCGGACAAUAUCCGGCGGACUGUCACUCUCGUGAAAAGCGAGGAGUGGGGAGCUGUCA